rnacentral:tRNA from 1 species
GGCGCUUUAGCUUAGUGGUCAGAGCGAUCCCUCUGACUAAGGGAUAGACCUAGGUUUAAGUAUCGGAAGCGUCU